rnacentral:rRNA from 1 species
AACCUACCUAUAAGACUGGGAUAACUUCGGGAAACCGGAGCUAAUACCGGAUAACAUAUUGAACCGCAUGGUUCAAUAGUGAAAGGCGGCUUUGCUGUCACUUAUAGAUGGAUCCGCGCCGUAUUAGCUAGUUGGUAAGGUAACGGCUUACCAAGGCAACGAUACGUAGCCGACCUGAGAGGGUGAUCGGCCACACUGGAACUGAGACACGGUCCAGACUCCUACGGGAGGCAGCAGUAGGGAAUCUUCCGCAAUGGGCGAAAGCCUGACGGAGCAACGCCGCGUGAGUGAUGAAGGUCUUCGGAUCGUAAAACUCUGUUAUCAGGGAAGAACAAAUGUGUAAGUAAUUGUGCACAUCUUGACGGUACCUGAUCAGAAAGCCACGGCUAACUACGUGCCAGCAGCCGCGGUAAUACGUAGGUGGCAAGCGUUAUCCGGAAUUAUUGGGCGUAAAGCGCGCGUAGGCGGUUUCUUAAGUCUGAUGUGAAAGCCCACGGCUCAACCGUGGAGGGUCAUUGGAAACUGGAAAACUUGAGUGCAGAAGAGGAAAGUGGAAUUCCAUGUGUAGCGGUGAAAUGCGCAGAGAUAUGGAGGAACACCAGUGGCGAAGGCGACUUUCUGGUCUGUAACUGACGCUGAUGUGCGAAAGCGUGGGGAUCAAACAGGAUUAGAUACCCUGGUAGUCCACGCCGUAAACGAUGAGUGCUAAGUGUUAGGGGGUUUCCGCCCCUUAGUGCUGCAGCUAACGCAUUAAGCACUCCGCCUGGGGAGUACGACCGCAAGGUUGAAACUCAAAGGAAUUGACGGGGACCCGCACAAGCGGUGGAGCAUGUGGUUUAA